rnacentral:rRNA from 1 species
CCUACGGGAGGCAGCAGUGGGGAAUAUUGCACAAUGGGGGAAACCCUGAUGCAGCGACGCCGCGUGAGUGAGGAAGUAUUUCGGUAUGUAAAGCUCUAUCAGCAGGGAAGAAAAUGGCCGUUGCGUACCUACAAGUCCCGGGCAAAUACGUGCCAGCAGCCGCGGUAAUACGGAGGGGGGAAGCGUUAACCGGAUUUACUGGGUGUAAAGGGGGAGUAGACGGGAUAGCAAGGCGGAUGGGAAAACCCGGGGGUCAACCCCGGGAGUGCACUUGAAACUGUAGGUCUGGAGUGUCGGAGAGGCAGGCGGAAUGCCUGGUGUAGCGGUGAAAUGCGUAGAUAUUAGGAGGAACACCGGUGGCGAAGGCGGCUUGCUGGACGAUGACUGACGUUGAGGCUCGAAAGCGUGGGGAGCGAACAGGAUUAGAUACCCGAGUAGUC